GGCAACAGAGUGAGAGUCUGUCUCAAAAAAAAAAAAGAAAGAAAGAAACCCAAAAAACAGAGAACAAAAACAACAUUCUCUGUCUCUGAGUUUGAAACCAGACCAGGACUGGGCCAUCAUCUGGGUUCAAAAGGAAGCCGGGAGGAUGCAGCUCCAGUCCAAAUGCUAGGGACAUUCGUGUGCAUUAUUUCAUCCCCCGUGAGGUGGAGACCAACAUUCCCAUUUUGCAGAAGAGGAAAUUGAAGGAACUCCAAGAAGUGAAAGCACUCGCCCAUGGUCACAUGGCUGGCUACAAAAAUCUGACUCAUUCUUCAAGACCUAGUUCCAGAGCCACCUCCUCCAGGAAAACUUCCAAGUCCUCCAGGCAAAAGUUCUAUUUUUUUAUAGCCUCCCCCAUUUCAUAGGACUGUAAGGAUUUGUUUAUUACCUCCAUCUGUUCUAUGGAACUGUAAACUCCUCAUGUGCAUACACUCAUGUGCACAUGAAAUUGCACAUGAAAUUGCAUAGGAGGGGGAUAUAGUAUUCAGGGUUUCCCAACUACUUUGACCAGGCAACACUACAUAGUAAAGCAUAUCUGUGGAA